UAACGUGCUCAUAUUUAUAGUGGACACACCUGUUCCCAUCCCGAACACAGCCGUUAAGCACUAUAAAGCCGAAGGUAGCAUUCAUUUGUUAGAAUAGGUCGUGCGUUAU
rnacentral:rRNA from 1 species